CGAGCCGCACUUAGGAGUAGUGCUACCGUGACACUGUGUAAGGGAGAUGCCGAGAGGGGCGAACCUUGAGGCGAGGAGAUGCCGAGAGGGGCGAGCCUUGGGACAAGGAGAAGCCAAGAGGGUCGAGCCUUGGAAGCCCAAGGGCGAGCUUGAAGCUAAAGUGAGGACGAGUGGCAUUGUCGUAAUUAAGUGGAAGUUCGGGUUCGAGAUACUUCGGCUUGGAAUUUGGGAAAACUCAAAACACGAGAAAUGUCCGGGACGUCGAAACGAGUUCAACGCACUUGACGGCAUGUCAUUUGGAUUUUCUAUGAAUUAGUUAUGGACAAUUAGUCUCCUCGGCUAUUUUGAUGUUUCCUCCUGCCAAGUUCAUGUAAGCAAGAUAUGCUCUAUAGGGGGAGACAUGGUGUCAAGCUCUCCACCACCCCCGGUGCUGGCCUUCAUGGGGCACUAAGUGAGCUUCUCCCGGGCACCCGUGGGGGCCUAGGGGACCGGGCAUGUGUCGUCAAAAGGGGCGGCAUAUGUUUCCACGAGUCAGGAUGUCUCGUGGACGGUGUUGGCCGAAAGGCCGAUAUUGCGGGUCGACGUCGGGGACGAGGUUCGG
rnacentral:lncRNA from 1 species